GUUAAUACAGGGAGAUUCAAAAGUCCGCCCCCCCCCCUUUUAUUUUUUGAACGGUACCAUGUAGAAAUUUGAAUUUUUGUAUGUUCAUAUAUGAUAUGGUCUAGUAUUUUUUGCGAUAUGUGAAAACUCAGGGGCCGCUUCAGGGGUGGCCCCAGGGGGGUCAACUUUUGAUUCUUAAAUAGAAACACCCCUUUUGUGAUACGUUGUUGGAAACAUGAUUUUUUUUUAAGUACUUUACAAUAAAAAUGAGCUUUCUAUCUUAAGUAGAUCAAAAGUUAUGCCUCAUUAAAGUUUAAUGAAAACACAUUUUCGAACCCGGGUUUUUUGAUGACUGGAUGGUUUUUGUUUAGCCAGCUAAUAGUUUUCCUCAUAUUCACAAGUAAAAACAACUAAAAAAAAUGUUUUUG
rnacentral:lncRNA from 1 species